rnacentral:tRNA from 1 species
GGUUUGGUAGUUUAGUGGUAGAACACCAGCAUGGUAUGCUGGAGACCCGGGUUCGAAUCCCGGGUCCAACCG